rnacentral:rRNA from 1 species
UACGUAGGGGGCUAGCGUUGUCCGGAAUCAUUGGGCGUAAAGAGCGUGUAGGCGGCCCGGUAAGUCCGCUGUAAAAGUCAAAGGCUCAACCUUUGAAUGUCAGUGGAUACUGCCGGGCUAGAGUCCGGAAGAGGCGAGUGGAACUCCUGGUGUAGCGGUGGAAUGCGCAGAUAUCAGGAGGAACACCGAUGGCGAAGGCAGGUCUCUGGGCCACUACUGACGCUGAGAAGCGAAAGCAUGGGGAGCGAACAGG